rnacentral:rRNA from 1 species
GACGAACGCUGGCGGCGUGCCUAAUACAUGCAAGUAGAACGCACAGUUUAUACCGUAGCUUGCUACACCAUAGACUGUGAGUUGCGAACGGGUGGGUAACGCGUAGGUAACCUGCCUGGUAGCGGGGGAUAACUAUUGGAAACGAUAGCUAAUACCGCAUAAUAUUGAUUAUUGCAUGAUAAUUGAUUGAAAGAUGCUAUUGCAUCACUACCAGAUGGACCUGCGUUGUAUUAGCUAGUAGGUGAGGUAACGGCUCACCUAGGCGACGAUACAUAGCCGACCUGAGAGGGUGAGCGGCCACACUGGGACUGAGACACGGCCCAGACUCCUACGGGAGGCAGCAGUAGGGAAUCUUCGGCAAUGGACGAAAGUCUGACCGAGCAACGCCGCGUGAGUGAAGAAGGUUUUCGGAUCGUAAAGCUCGGUUGUAAGAGAAGAACGGGUGUGAGAGUGGAAAGUUCACACUGUGACGGUAUCUUACCAGAAAGGGACGGCUAACUACGUG